AAGAAGGAUAUUCUACUAUUCUUUGUAGUCAGUUCUUCAUGGUGGACAAAGGGAUACAAAACCUAUUCCGUUCUGACUCUCCACAGCAGUACCAGGCCCCAGCCCAGCCACCACCUCCAGCCUCUCCUCCCGUCGUCUCCCCCCCAGAGGGUGACCACCACCUAGCCCUGCGAGCCUCCGACGGACCCCUGCCCGGCUCCUUCCCCUACUCCUCUGCCACUCAUCUCAAACGUCUCCACACCGCCCCCAUCUGCUCCUCCAACACAGAGACAGAGACAGCCCAGCAAGAGCCACCGGGCCUGGGCAGGCCCUCCAUCGCCUGCUCCCUGGGAUCCAACCGUCCAGCCGACGACCAGGAACAAACCCAAGACGACGCGGUCUCCUCCAGCACUGACCCCCAGGGGAGCACUGUGGACCCCCACCUCCAGACCCACCCUUACAGAGUCAGACCCCGAGCCCACCGACGAGGGCCUCCGUCGGGGAAGAUCAGCUCGCCCUGCCUGGAGAGGCUGCUCCAGUCCAAGGAGAGCAUCAUCUCACCCAGAAACAUGGGAGGUCAGAGUCCGGGAGGUGGUGGGGAGAGCAUCAUCUCACCCAGAAACAUGGGAGGUCAGAGUCCGGGAGGUGGUGGGGAGAGCAGCCGUUCGUAACAGCUAGACUCAGACAUGGUCCAUGGAGGAGAUAAGGACUGAUCUGGGCACAGAGUUGACCCGGGAGACACUGAGCUGUAUCUUUCCACAACAGGCUCCCCAAUACAGCAGGGGGCAAAGGUCGGUGUCUGAGCGGGACGCUGUCUCUUUAAGAGCUGUGUGUCAUGUGAUCCAUCAUGUGAUCCAACUACGGUUGGUUUAUCUGCAGUAAGACACUGAGACAUGGAGGAGACAUAUUAUAGACCUGCAGUAAGACACAGAGACAUGGAGGAGAGGAGACAUAUUAUAGACCUGCAGUAAGACACUGAGACAUGGAGGAGACAUAUUAUAGACCUGCAGUAAGACACAGAGACAUGGAGGAGACAUAUUAUAGACCUGCAGUAAGACACAGAGACAUGGAGGAGACAUAUUAUAGACCUGCAGUAAGACACAGAGACAUGGAGGAGACAUAUUAUAGACCUGCAGUAAGACACAGAGACAUGGAGGAGACAUAUUAUAGACCUGCAGUAAGACACAGAGACAUGGAGGUGAGGAUACAUAUUAUAGACCUGCAGUAAGACACUGAGACAUGGAGGAGAGGAGACAUAUUAUAGACCUGCAGUAAGACACAGAGACAUGGAGGAGAGGAGAGAUAUUAUAGACCUGCAGUAAGACACUGAGACAUGGAGGAGAGGAGACAUAUUAUAGAC
ensembl:lncRNA